rnacentral:lncRNA from 13 species
GGAUUGGAAGACUUGGCACAGUCUUUCCUCCCCAAGGGUACUGUGCUGGUGAUGUUUGCAGAGUGCAUCACACUCCUCUGAUAAAAGGUGUAUCCUGAGUACAAAAUAUCAUUGUCACUAUUCCACAAUGUGGCUAAAUAUAGGCUUGCGCCAAUCUGCUAAAGAGCAGAGUGUCUCUUCAACAUUUGCCUGGAAGGAACAAGUGGCCCAGGGGUUGCAGAGGAUGCAGCAGAAAAGAGCUGGAAUGCAGCAUCAGUGUGCCUGAGACGGGGGCAUGGGGAGAGGAAGAGAAAGACCGUGCAUGCCCUCCUGGUGGGCAGCCCAAGCCCACUGGGGGACAGUGAGUCCAGAGUGCAGCAACGCUGGAGUCCUGCUGUGAAAGGCCACGAUAGCUGAGCCCCUGCGAGGAAUGGAGCAAGGAGAUCACAGAGCACGGAGCACAUUGCAUCUGCCCCACGCAGUGGCAGAGCAGGAAGCUCAAGGGCCUGGCGUUAAGAGGUACCAUUCAAACGGGAGCAGACCCGGAGCAGAUGCCGUCUCCGAGCAGCCUGUCUGGGGAAGCCGGUCAGUUUCCACUCUAUCACAGUCUCACAGAACAGGGAAGCUGCAGGAAGGUUGACAAAAACACAGCAAAGCAGCGAGAGCCUCCCUGGUGGAGAGCCACACCCAGGUUGUCAUUCUGGGAUUGAGCAACCCUUUCAGGGUUGAGCCAAUUUCUAGGUCAUGUGGAGUGGGCCAGCUUUAAUGAACCUGUCUAAAAGGAAGGAAGAGAAAGCUCAGCUCAUCGGGAAAGGGAGGAGGACCUUGACAGCCGUCUCACUCCUCACCAGCUCUUCUUCUUGGAUCUUGUUCUGACUCCUUGGUCCGCUAAUGGCCUCCUGGAUGAAAGAGUUAGGUAAUGAUCCCCGCCUCCCAAUACUCAUUGCUCAGUUUCAACAAUCAUCAACAUUUUGCCAAUCUUUUUUUUGAGACAGAGUUUUACUGUUGUUACCCAGGCUGGAGUGCAAUGGCGUGAUCUCGGCUCACCGCAACCUCCGCCUCCUGGGUUCAAGCAAUUCUCCUGCCUCAUCCUCCUGAGUAGCUGGGACUACAGGUGUGCACCACCAUGCCAGCUAAUUUUUUGUAUUUUUAGUAGAGACAGAGUUUCACCUUGUUGACCAGGAUGGUCUCGAUCUCUUGACCUUGUGAUCCACCCACCUUGGCCUCUCAAAGUGCUGGAAUUAGAGGCGUGAGACACCGCGCCCGGCCCAUUUUGCCAAUCUUGUUUCAUCUCUCCUCUGAUCUUUUUCCUUUUCUGGAAUAUUCAGAUUCUCUAACUUUGCGAGUGGAACUAAGAGCCUUCCUCACCCACAUCACCACUAUUAGCCUAUAAACCUCUUUUAAGGACAGGGAUUCACCUCAGCUCAAUUGUUCUGCUACACAUGAGGUACCUGGCUUCUGUGUUGAGAGAUGUUGGAAUUAUAUGAUUUUUAGCACAUAAAGUGUUAGUAUUCGGAAUCCAGUUUGGCUCACUCUAGAUGAGCCAUACAGUCUUUAUUUUUUCUCCUCUCCCUUUUGUCUUCUCAAGUUGAAAUAGUUACCAGCUUUCCCAUAUCUCCCCCUGCACCCUCUAUUGCCACUUGUUUUUCUUUCUUUUUUUUUCUAACCACGCCAUGAGGUAUUUCACCAGC